CACCGGCAUCUGAUGAAGCUGCCAGCAUGAUCUAAUUAGCUUUCUUUAUAUCCGUCAUGACGAUGGUUAAGAGAUGAGUCUCGAUUAGAUCAUGUUCGCAGUUUCACCCGUUGACUGU